ensembl:lncRNA
GUAAUUUGCCUGAUGACCCACGAGUGGAGGAGCUUCUCAUUUCAUACAAGCGCAUUUUCGUCCACGUUGAGCUGUCCGAUCAGGUCCAUUGUCUACUUGUGGAAUUGUGACUCUCCUUGCCGCCGCAACUCGAUUAAAUUGGACCCUUUUCAAAAGGAGGCGAGAGAGGACGCAAAACUUGAGCAAAUGGAACCAUGAAGAGGAGCUUGGAGUGGGCAAGGGGGAGGCUGAUGAAGCAGCAGAGGAGACCUGAUUCAAGUAUCAAUUAAUUCUGGGGAUUCUUACCUGGUUGGCCAUGCAUGGCACAACACAAGACACUUCAAUCUGACACUCUUUUUAAUGUUUGACGUCAGGCAAAAUGUCUUCAGCCACUGUAGGACGGAGAGCCGCUGUUUGGCAUCGGACUGUGGGUGUCUGUGGGUGUACCAGGAAAUGACGUUAGAAGUUAGGGCCCUAUGAUAUCGAAGCUUCUUACCAUUUCAACUGCAGCACAGUCGAUAUCGAUUUAAAAAAAAAACUGGAACAAUAGAUUGUGUAGCACAAUGUACAACUCCAGUUUGCCUAUUGUCCCAACAAAUGUCAAUUAUACAUUUUUACAUACGUCAGAGCAUUUUAUAGCUCUGCUUUCAACGCCAUCCUGACCCACAAACUGGUUAGCAGACUCAGGGCUCUGGGUGUAAAUCCUGUAACAACAAAUUUAGAUUUUUUUUUACAUUAUCAUAAGAAUUUGUACAUGAGUACAUGAAGGAGCUGUGGGACCUGACAUAAUGGUGAUACGUCAACAGUUUCAUCGUAAACAAAGUAGAUGGUGAUACUUGACCAUUCUCCCAUCUACUGUACAUUGACAUGGAGAUGAUCAGCAGCUUCAAGUUCCUGGGCACCCUGAUAUCCUUUUCUGCCCUCAGUUACUUCACUCAAAGUCCCUCUUGUGCUUCUCCACUACCCUUAAACUUGCUGCACCACGACCUAUGUACCAACUACAGUGUUGUUUAUUGCCAUUGCACCUGUAAAUGAAAUGUCCAUAUUUAUUGUAAGAUUUAUUUAUGGUAACAUUGCACAUAUUGUAACAUAGUCCCUUGACAUACAUGACUUAACUACUUUGCAUAAUGCUCAGUUUACCCACUCUAAUAAAUCAUACAUGUAUUAAAAUAUUAAAGCUGCAUUAUGUAUUACUGUGUCCAAUUGAUUCUGGUUGGUUGUAAAUGUUUUUCAAAACUUUCACUACACAAAUUUUUUUUUUUGCUGAUGAACAAUCCUG